rnacentral:rRNA from 1 species
AUUGAACGCUGGCGGCAGGCCUAACACAUGCAAGUCGGACGGUAGCACAGAGGAGCUUGCUCCUCGGGUGACGAGUGGCGGACGGGUGAGUAAUGUCUGGGGAUCUGCCCGAUAGAGGGGGAUAACCACUGGAAACGGUGGCUAAUACCGCAUAACGUCGCAAGACCAAAGAGGGGGACCUUCGCGCCUCUCACUAUCGGAUGAACCCAGAUGGGAUUAGAUAGUAGGCGGGGUAACGGCCCACCUAGGGGACGAUCCCGAGCUGGUCUGGGAGGAUGACCAGCAACACUGGAACUGAGACACGGUCCAGACUCCUACGGGAGGCAGCAGUGGGGAAUAUUGCACAAUGGGCGCAAGCCUGAUGCAGCCAUGCCGCGUGUAUGAAGAAGGCCUUCGGGUUGUAAAGUACUUUCAGCGGGGAGGAAGGCGAUAAGGUUAAUAACCUUGUCGAUUGACGUUACCCGCAGAAGAAGCACCGGCUAACUCCGUGCCAGCCGCCGCAGUAA